UGUUCGCACGCUCUGCACCUUGCUCCUGCCCACUCUGCUUGUCAGCUUUCCUCAGUCCUGAAAGAUCCUUAGUGCCUGGAUUUCAUCAUCCAGCCCUGCAGGAUGCUCCCCUUUGUUCUGGGGAAGGCUGUCCCAGAUGGAGAAGAGGAGAUGGAGGUGGAUAUAGAGAUUGAUAGAGAGGAGGACAUGGAGACGGAGGGAGAAGACACUGGGGAGGAGGAGAUGGAGGUGGAGGUGGUUGUGGAAGAGGAGAUGGAAGUGGAUGUGGAAGAGUCCAUUGAGGACAUGGACAUUGAUUAAGAAGGUGCCCUGUCUCAGCUUGAAAAGAAAACAGGGGAGCUCAGGGUAUUGGAGUGGCUCUCUCCACCGCUACAGCAACAGAGAACUGUGAGAUUGAAAAUUGAAAUGAUUGCAUCCCUCAUAAAGAAAGGACGUUUUAGGGCAAUCCAAGUUACAGGAGCGGAGCCUUCCACAAUACGAUUGCCCAUUAAAAAGGACACGCUUGACUGGUAUUUGGUGAACUCUGGGGAGCUCCAGGAAGCCCUUUCAGGAGCUGGAGCUGUCGUGGAGACUGGGAAACUGCAUCCUAGUCCCCUCCAGUGGAUGACAGAAUGGGACUGGAUAACAAAGCCCAUUCGGAGUCUGUCACCAUUAAGGGGGGCUAUCACGGCCUUUACGGACGCUGGUAAAAAGUCCGAGAGAGCAGCCGUGACAUGGAAACAGCAAGGACAGUGGCGACAACAUUUGUUAGAUGCAGAUGCCAGGGACAGUCUACAGACAUUGGAACUUUUAGCUGUAGUAUAGGCAAUGAUGAAUUUAAAAGGUCCUUUGAAUAUUGUGACUGACUCCCUUUAUGUAGCAGGAGUAGCUGCCAGGGUACUAUACUGGGGGAGGGGAUAUCUUUGUGUUUCCUCUCCAACAGGACCCUUGUGGAUCCCCGUGAAGUGGACUUGAGCUGUACCAGAUGUUGAGGACCAUUGCGGCCUUGUCACCGGAGGACAAAGAGAGGGUGCACAACAAACUGACGCUGAUAUUGCGACCCUAUUUGCAGCGCCUCCAGCCCUACUCUAACGACGCGCGACGUGCCUGCGUUCAUCUUCCUGACGAUUGGAUUGAGUGGUGUCAGGACCUUACGGUAGAAGUAAAAGCCCCUCAAUCACAGCCAUGCUUGGACUGUGGGGACAAUAAAUGCGCUGCAUGGAUCGCGCUAGACUGUGGAGGCUGUAAUAAGGUGUUUUGGUUGGAGCAAUCGACCGUUCGGCAAAACUGGUGCCGGAGCUGCCGAUUCUCUUGGAACUUGCAGAACUCGUGGCAGCGAGCACUAAGGGAUUUUACAGGGCUUGAUUUGGGAGGAUCGUUAGACUUGUAUGAAGCCCCGGAGCAAAUUAUUUUGGCAUAUGUUACUUAGCAACUUAAGACCUUGUGUGAGCGAGCGGAAACAGGUAGUAGUAGCCACACUUUUACCUGGAGGGGCAGCUAAUAAGGCCAUGAAUUUGGCCAAGCAAUUAGGCUGCUGGGCCAAAGACGAACUGAAUGCCACCUCCCAGGUAUUGGACAUGCUGUCUCAAGAUGUACAAAGUGUAAAUCACGCAGUAUUGCAGAAUACAGCAGCAAUCGAUUUCUUAUUAUUAGCUCAAGGCCAUGGUUGUGAAGAAUUUGAGAGUAUGUGUUGUAUGAAUUUAUCAGAUCAUUCUGUAUCAAUAUGCUAUAGAGAUAUUGUAUGAUAGUAUUGCUAAUGCUUGUGUUACCAUGCUUGCUUAAUUGCAUACAAAGAAUAGUGAGUCAGAUGAUGAAAAGGGCUUGGAAAACAACACUUCUAGCCCAAAAAGAAAACGGGGGAAAUGUUGAGAGCUUUGUAACAAGCUGGCUCCGAGCUAAAGCUCACAGUGAGAUUAAUUUGACCAAGAUACAGAAUGAAGGGAGUUGCUAUCCCAAUUAAACUGUGUCCUUGGCCCACGGAUGAAGUAAUGCACAGACACAGGUGGUGGAGCAAAUAGCCUGGGAAAGUGGAAUAGUUAUACCAAAAACAGCACGUAGUUAGCUGAUAGCUAGUUAGCCAAUGGUGAGCUGGGAUUUUGCACUAUGCAUGAGCUAAUUAAAGGGUGUAUAAUAAUCGGUGAUUGGGGAAUAAAGACGAGACUUGUCGAUCAUCAUAUGGUGAGCAAGUCUUCCUUCUCCAUCACUCAGGGACAUUGUACCCAGGGCAUUGGAUUCUGUUGGCCAUCCACAGCCUGUCCUGUGCCUGCUUUGCUCCACACAAGCUCCAUCCCAGACCCAGCCAGGCUCAGUUCUGCUAGCAGAGUCCUGCUGCUGUGCCAGCUGUGCCAGCCUGGGGGCACAUGCAAGAGCCCUCUGUGCCUGACUGGAGUGACCGUGGCAUUUGCUAUUCUUCCAGGUGCGAAGGACAUCAUGGAGAGAGAUGCCACCUUUUGUACAUACGUUUUACACUUUGAUGUUGACUUUAGGAUAUAGGUUUUUGUGGAGAGCCUCGUAAAGGAAUGGCUCGCAGAGAAGGGACAUAGUCAGACGAAUCUGUUCAAGUUAGAGGACAUAUAGGCCGGAGGUAGCCUGAAGGACAGGGUGUCCUUGUGAGGAAGGAACAUGUGCAAGAACGUGGUAAACAGGAUGUCGAGAAGGAAGUGAGAGCCUGAUAAAAACCGCAAAAGUGCAGAAGUGCACAGUUAUGAUGCAAAUGCAAUAUAACCAAUCAUGAGCUAUGAUUUUGUACUAUGCAUGAGCUAAUUAAGAAUGGUAUAUAACCAGCUGUACAAGGCACAAUAAACGAGAUCUGCUGAUGACCAACUGGUGUCCAGUCUCCCUUCUCCGACAAUGGUGACCCCGACGUCGCCCCUGCGCUAAAGAAA